GUCGAGCGGUAGAGAGCUGCUUGCACCUCUUGAGAGCGGCGGACGGGUGAGAAAAGAAUAGGAAUCUGCCUGGUAGUGGGGGAUAACGUUCGGAAACGGACGCUAAUACCGCAUACGUCCUACGGGAGAAAGCAGGGGACCUUCGGGCCUUGCGCUAUCAGAUGAGCCUAGGUCGGAUUAGCUAGUUGGUGAGGUAAAGGCUCACCAAGGCGACGAUCCGUAACUGGUCUGAGAGGAUGAUCAGUCACACUGGAACUGAGACACGGUCCAGACUCCUACGGGAGGCAGCAGUGGGGAAUAUUGGACAAUGGGCGAAAGCCUGAUCCAGCCAUGCCGCGUGUGUGAAGAAGGUCUUCGGAUUGUAAAGCACUUUAAGUUGGGAGGAAGGGUACUUACCUAAUACGUGAGUAUUUUGACGUUACCGACAGAAUAAGCACCGGCUAACUCUGUGCCAGCAGCCGCGUCUAUACAGAGGGUGCAAGCGUUAAUCGGAAUUACUGGGCGUAAAGCGCGCGUAGGUGGUUCGUUAAGUUGGAUGUGAAAUCCCCGGGCUCAACCUGGGAACUGCAUCCAAAACUGGCGAGCUAGAGUAUGGUAGAGGGUGGUGGAAUUUCCUGUGUAGCGGUGAAAUGCGUAGAUAUAGGAAGGAACACCAGUGGCGAAGGCGACCACCUGGACUGAUACUGACACUGAGGUGCGAAAGCGUGGGGAGCAAACAGGAUUAGAUACCCUGGUAGUCCACGCCGUAAACGAUGUCAACUAGCCGUUGGGGACCUUGAGUCUUUAGUGGCGCAGCUAACGCAUUAGUUGACCGCCUGGGGAGUACGGCCGCCAGGUUAAACUCAAAUGAAUUGA
rnacentral:rRNA from 1 species